AGUCGAGCGGAACGAUGGUAGCUUGCUACCAGGCGUCGAGCGGCGGACGGGUGAGUAAUGCUUAGGAAUCUGCCCAGUAGUGGGGGAUAGCCCGGGGAAACCCGGAUUAAUACCGCAUACGCCCUUUUGGGGAAAGCAGGGGAUCUUCGGACCUUGCGCUAUUGGAUGAGCCUAAGUCGGAUUAGCUAGUUGGUGGGGUAAAGGCUCACCAAGGCGACGAUCCGUAGCUGGUCUGAGAGGAUGAUCAGCCACAUCGGGACUGAGACACGGCCCGAACUCCUACGGGAGGCAGCAGUGGGGAAUAUUGGACAAUGGGGGCAACCCUGAUCCAGCCAUGCCGCGUGUGUGAAGAAGGCUUUCGGGUUGUAAAGCACUUUCAGUGAGGAGGAAGGCCUUAAGAUUAAUACUCUUAAGGAUUGACGUCACUCACAGAAGAAGCACCGGCUAACUCCGUGCCAGCAGCCGCGGUAAUACGGAGGGUGCAAGCGUUAAUCGGAAUUACUGGGCGUAAAGCGCGCGUAGGUGGUUGAGUAAGCGAGAUGUGAAAGCCCCGGGCUUAACCUGGGAACGGCAUUUCGAACUGCUCGACUAGAGUGUGGUAGAGGGUAGUGGAAUUUCCU
rnacentral:rRNA from 1 species